UCCAACGGUAAGAUCUCGCUUGCGAGAUACACGAGUGGCGCACGGGUGCGUAACGCGUAUGCAACCUACCUUCAACUGGAGAAUAGCCCCGAGAAAUCGGGAUUAAUACUCCAUAACAUCCAGUUUUCACCUGAUUACUGGAUUAAAGUUUCGACGGUUGAAGAUGGGCAUGCGUGACAUUAGUUUGUUGGUGAGGUAACGGCUCACCAAGACUACGAUGUCUAGGGGUUCUGAGAGGAUUGUCCCCCACACUGGUACUGAGACACGGACCAGACUCCUACGGGAGGCAGCAGUAAGGAAUAUUGGUCAAUGGACGAAAGUCUGAACCAGCCAUGCCGCGUGCAGGAUGACAGCCCUACGGGUUGUAAACUGCUUUUAUACGGGAAGAAUCCCCUGUACGUGUACAGGGUUGACGGUACCGUACGAAUAAGCAUCGGCUAACUCCGUGCCAGCAGCCGCGGUAAUACGGAGGAUGCAAGCGUUAUCCGGAUUCAUUGGGUUUAAAGGGUGCGUAGGCGGAAUGAUAAGUUAGUGGUGAAAGCCCCCGGCUCAACCGGGGAACUGCCAUUAAUACUGUUAUC
rnacentral:rRNA from 1 species